rnacentral:rRNA from 1 species
AGCGAACGCUGGCGGUAGGCCUAACACAGGCAGGUGGAACGGAGCGCCCCUAGUGUUUUGGGUUACGGGUGGGGCGAAGGGGUCGGGAGCGGGAUACAACCGUACCCUAUUUUUUGGGGGGGCUUAAGGAGGGGAAAUUUAACAUAUACCAGAAACGCCCUCUGGGUGGAAGGCGGGGGACUUUGGCCCCUGCGGGGGUUGAAGAGGCGAUGUCGGAUUUGCUUGGUGGGGGGGUAAAGGACCAACAAGGGGACGAUCCGUAGCCGGUCGGAGAGGAUGAUCAGCCACACUGGAGCUGGGACACGGUCCAGACUCCUACGGGAGGCAGCAGUGGGGAAUAUUGGACAAUGGGCGCAAGCCUUGUCCAGCCGUACCGCGUGGGUGAAGAAGGCCUUCGGGUUGUAAAGCCCUUUUGUUGGGAAAGAAAAGCAGCAGGUUAAUACCCCGCUGUUCUGACGGUACCCAAAGAAUAAGCACCGGCUAACUUCGUG